GCAACUCUCCGCAAGCUGUGGGAGCCCGGCACCGGGCUCCCGCGCUGUGCGGAGAGCUGCGCAAAGUCUGGGCGUGCUGAGCUCAGCGCGCCCAGGCUUCAGCAUGCAGGCAACUCUCCGCAAGCCGUGGAAGCCCAGCACUGGGCUCCCGUUCUUUGCAGAGAGUUGC